rnacentral:rRNA from 1 species
UUUCCGGUUGAUCCUGCCAGAGGUCACUGCUAUCGGUGUUCGACUAAGCCAUGCGAGUCAAAUGUUCUUCGUGAACAUGGCGUACUGCUCAGUAACACGUGGAUAACCUGCCCUUAGGUCUGACAUAACCCCGGGAAACUGGAGAUAAUUCCGGAUAGAUCAUCGAUGCUGGAAUGCGCUUUGAUCCAAAGCUAUUGUGCCUAAGGAUGGGUCUGCGGUCUAUCAGGUUGUAGUGGGUGUAAUGUACCUACUAGCCUACGACGGAUACGGGUUGUGGGAGCAAGAGCCCGGAGAUGGAUUCUGAGACAUGAAUCCAGGCCCUACGGGGCGCAGCAGGCGCGAAAACUUUACAAUGCGGGGAACCGCGAUAAGGGGACACCGAGUGCCAGCAUCCUAUGUUGGCUGUCCAUAUGUCUAAAUCACAUGUGUUAGCAAGGGCCGGGCAAGACCGGUGCCAGCCGCCGCGGUAACACCGGCGGCCCGAGUGGUGGCCACUAUUAUUGGGUCUAAAGGGUCCGUAGCCGGUUUGGUCAGUCUUCCGGGAAAUCUGACGGCUCAACCGUUAGGCUUUCGGGGGAUACUACCAGGCUUGGGACCGGGAGAGGUAAGAGGUACUACGGGGGUAGGAGUGAAAUCUUGUAAUCCCUGUGGGACCACCAGUGGCGAAGGCGUCUUACCAGAACGGGUCCGACGGUGAGGGACGAAAGCUGGGGGCACGAACCGGAUUAGAUACCCGGGUAGUCCCAGCUGUAAACUAUGCUCGCUAGGUGUCAGGGACGGUGCGACCGUUUCUGGUGCCGCAGGGAAGCCGUGAAGCGAGCCACCCGGGAAGUACGGUCGCAAGGCUGAAACUUAAAGGAAUUGGCGGGGGAGCACUACAACGGGUGGAGCCUGCGGUUUAAUUGGACUCAACGCCGGA